AAGUUCUUCCAUUUGUACAGUUAAAAACUAACGUGGUUGACGAAAUAAUCAGUUAAUAACACACGGCGUGUCACAUGUAAUUCAUGUUAAUGUAUAGGAACUAAUUUUUAAUAGUAGAAAUGAUCAAUUU
rfam:Gossypium raimondii Chr05_contig_1344, whole genome shotgun sequence.